rnacentral:rRNA from 1 species
CCUACGGGUGGCUGCAGUGGGGAAUAUUGCACAAUGGGGGGAACCCUGAUGCAGCGACGCCGCGUGAGUGAAGAAGUAUUUCGGUAUGUAAAGCUCUAUCAGCAGGGAAGAAAAUGACGGUACCUGACUAAGAAGCCCCGGCUAACUACGUGCCAGCAGCCGCGGUAAUACGUAGGGGGCAAGCGUUAUCCGGAUUUACUGGGUGUAAAGGGAGCGCAGACGGCUGUGCAAGUCUGGAGUGAAAGGCGGGGGCCCAACCCCCGGACUGCUCUGGAAACUGUAAAGCUGGAGUGCAGGAGAGGUAAGCGGAAUUCCUAGUGUAGCGGUGAAAUGCGUAGAUAUUGCGCAGAACUCCGAUUGCGAAGGUAGCAUGCCGGCUCCACACUGACGCUGAGGCACGAAAGCGUGGGUAUCGAACAGGAUUAGAUACCCCUGUAGUC